rnacentral:rRNA from 1 species
UACGUAGGGUGCAAGCGUUGUCCGGAAUUAUUGGGCGUAAAGAGCUCGUAGGCGGUCUGUCGCGUCGGCUGUGAAAACCCGGGGCUCAACCCCGGGCCUGCAGUCGAUACGGGCAGACUAGAGUGCGGUAGGGGAGACUGGAAUUCCCGGUGUAGCGGUGAAAUGCGCAGAUAUCGGGAGGAACACCAGUAGCGAAGGCGACACUCUGGGCCGGUACUGACGCUGAGGAGCGAAAGCGUGGGGAGCAAACAGG